rnacentral:rRNA from 1 species
GUAAGUCAGUGGUGAAAGCCCAUCGCUCAACGGUGGAACGGCCAUUGAUACUGCUAAACUUGAAUUAUUAGGAAGUAACUAGAAUAUGUAGUGUAGCGGUGAAAUGCUUAGAGAUUACAUGGAAUACCAAUUGCGAAGGCAGGUUACUACUAAUGGAUUGACGCUGAUGGACGAAAGCGUGGGUAGCGAACAGGAUUAGAUACCCUGGUAGUCCACGCCGUAAACGAUGGAUACUAGCUGUUGGAAGCAAUUUCAGCGGCUAAGCGAAAGUGAUAAGUAUCCCACCUGGGGAGUACGUUCGCAAGAAUGAAACUCAAAGGAAUUGACGGGGGCCCGCACAAGCGGUGGAGCAUGUGGUUUAAUUCGAUGAUACGCGAGGAACCUUACCAAGGCUUAAAUGUAGAUUGACCGGUUUGGAAACAGACUUUUCGCAAGACAAUUUACAAGGUGCUGCAUGGUUGUCGUCAGCUCGUGCCGUGGGGUGUCAGGUUAAGUCCUAUAACGAGCGCAACCCCUGUUGUUAGUUGCCAGCGAGUCAUGUCGGGAACUCUAACGAGACUGCCGGUGACAAACCGGAGGAAGGUGGGGAUGACGUCAAGUCCUCAUGGCCCUUAUGGGUAGGGCUUCACACGUCAUACAAUGGUCGGUACAGAGGGUUGCCAAGCCGCGAGGUGGAGCCAAUCCCAGAAAGCCGAUCGUAGUCCGGAUUGCAGGCUGCAACNNNCCUGCAUGAAGUCGGAAUCGCUAGUAAUCGCGGAUCAGCAUGUCGCGGUGAAUACGUUCCCGGGUCUUGUACACACCGCCCGUCACACCAUGGGAGUGGGUUCUGCCAGAA